rnacentral:rRNA from 1 species
AGUGAACGCUGGCGGUAGGCCUAACACAUGCAAGUCGAACGGCAGCACAGUAAGAGCUUGCUCUUACGGGUGGCGAGUGGCGGACGGGUGAGGAAUACAUCGGAAUCUACUUUUUCGUGGGGGAUAACGUAGGGAAACUUACGCUAAUACCGCAUACGACCUACGGGUGAAAGCAGGGGAUCUUCGGACCUUGCGCGAUUGAAUGAGCCGAUGUCGGAUUAGCUAGUUGGCGGGGUAAAGGCCCACCAAGGCGACGAUCCGUAGCUGGUCUGAGAGGAUGAGCAGCCACACUGGAACUGAGACACGGUCCAGACUCCUACGGGAGGCAGCAGUGGGGAAUAUUGGACAAUGGGCGCAAGCCUGAUCCAGCCAUACCGCGUGGGGGAAGAAGGCCUUCGGGUUGUAAAGCCCUUUUGUUGGGAAAGAAAAGCAGCAGGUUAAUACCCCGCUGUUAUGACGGUACCCAAAGAAUAAGCACCGGCUAACUUCGUG